rnacentral:rRNA from 1 species
GAUCAUGGCUCAGGACAACGCUGGCGGCAUGCCUAACACAUGCAAGUCGAACGGGGGUAGCAAUACCCUAGUGGCGAACGGGUGAGUAACACAUAAGCAAUCUGCCCUUCACAGGGGGAUAACAGCGGGAAACUGCUGCUAAUACCGCAUAAGACCACGGUACCGCAUGGUACAGGGGUAAAACGAAUCAGUGGUGAAGGAUGAGCUUAUGUCCCAUUAGCUAGUUGGUGAGAUAACAGCCCACCAAGGCGACGAUGGGUAGCCGACCUGAGAGGGUGAUCGGCCACACUGGAACUGAGACACGGUCCAGACUCCUACGGGAGGCAGCAGUGGGGAAUAUUGGGCAAUGGAGGAAAAACCUCUUACCCAGCAAUGCCGCGUGAGUGAAGAAGGUCUUCGGAUUGUAAAGCUCUUUGAUUGGGGACGAAGAAAGUGACGGUACCCAAAGAACAAGCCCCGGCUAACUACGUGCCAGCAGCCGC